CCCCAGAUCCGUUCUCUCUCUCCCUAAAAAAAGCCCCAAAUCCUCUGAAAAAAACAUCGGUCCUGCUCCUAACUCCGCCGACGAUCGACCACAUCCUCCGACAAACUCUAUCGAGGUCGACCAACUCCGCCUUCAGCUCCUCCUCCUGCGCGAUUUCGCCGUCGACUAUCGCCGCCGUGAGAUCUCCCAACUACAGCCCUAACUCCACCUUCAGCUCCUCCGAGAUCUUCCACAUCAUCAAGGAGCUGAUCGGGUUCAUCCUCUACAUACACCAUCAGACCCCUUCAUAUUGAGCAGCAAGGUCAUUAUGGAGGGAUCGGGGAAGCACAACCCUCUCAAUGAGGGAUCCAUUCUCUGGAUUACUGAAACUAGGUUGCCACUAGGAAGAAUUGAUGAAGUAUUUGGACCUGUGAAGAAUCCCUUCUAUGUUGUCAGGUACAACUCUGAUGAUGAAGUUCCUCAAGGAAUCAGCAUUGGUGUUGCCAUCUCUUUUGUUGUGGAUUUUUCCAACCAUAUUCUAAAUGAAAAUACCUCUAUGAAUGAUUAAUGUAUGUGAUAGGUCUUUGUUAAUGAGUUCACCAUUGCUGGUGUUCAUGUUUUCUAAUCAUAGUAUGUAUUAAGUAUCGAGGAAAGUUAUUGAAGUAAUAAAAUGUCCCCCUUCGCUGGUA